rnacentral:rRNA from 1 species
CUAGGGGCUUGCUCCUAGGUUAGUGGCGAACGGGUGAGUAAUGCAUCGGAACGUACCGUGUAGUGGGGGAUAACCCGGCGAAAGUCGGAUUAAUACCGCAUACGAUCUACGGAUGAAAGCGGGGGACCUUAGGGCCUCGCGCUAUACGAGCGGCCGAUGUCGGAUUAGCUAGUUGGUGAGGUAAAGGCUCACCAAGGCGACGAUCCGUAGCGGGUCUGAGAGGAUGAUCCGCCACACUGGGACUGAGACACGGCCCAGACUCCUACGGGAGGCAGCAGUGGGGAAUUUUGGACAAUGGACGCAAGUCUGAUCCAGCCAUGCCGCGUGAGUGAAAGAAGGCCUUCGGGUUGUAAAAGCUCUUUUGUCAGGGAGCAAAUCCUGCCUGCUAAUACUAGGCCGGGGAUGAAGAGUCCCUGAAGAAUAAGGACCGGCUAACUACCUGCCACAGCCGCGGUAAUACUAGGGUCCAAGC